UCGGAUUACUGGGCGUAAAGCGUGCGUAGGCGGUUAGUUAAGUCUGAUGUGAAAUCCCCGGGCUCAACCUGGGAAUGGCAUUGGAUACUGGCUAGCUAGAGUGUGGCAGAGGAUGGUGGAAUUCCCGGUGUAGCGGUGAAAUGCGUAGAGAUGUGGAGGAACAUCAAUGGCGAAGGCGGCCCCCUGGGCCAACACUGACGCUGAUGCACGAAAGCAUGGGGAGCAAACAGGAUUAAA
rnacentral:rRNA from 1 species